rnacentral:rRNA from 1 species
GAUGAACGCUGGCGGCGUGCUUAACACAUGCAAGUCGAACGAAGCACCUCUCCCGAAGAUUGACACAGCUUGCUGUAGAUUGAUUCAUUUGAGGUGACUGAGUGGCGGACGGGUGAGUAACGCGUGGGUAACCUGCCUCAUAGAGGGGGACAACGGUUGGAAACGACUGCUAAUACCGCAUAGUAAGAAGAAUUCGCAUGUUUUCUUCUUGAAAGAUUUAUCGCUAUGAGAUGGACCCGCGUCUGAUUAGCUAGUUGGUAAGGUAACGGCUUACCAAGGCGACGAUCAGUAGCCGGCUUGAGAGAGUGAACGGCCACAUUGGGACUGAGACACGGCCCAAACUCCUACGGGAGGCAGCAGUGGGGAAUAUUGCACAAUGGGGGAAACCCUGAUGCAGCGACGCCGCGUGAGUGAAGAAGUAUUUCGGUAUGUAAAGCUCUAUCAGCAGGGAAGAUAAUGACGGUACCUGACUAAGAAGCCCCGGCUAACUACGUG